rnacentral:rRNA from 1 species
UACGAAGGGUGCAAACGUUUGCUCGGAAUCAUUGGGCGUAAAGCGCACGUAGGCGGCUUUGCAAGUCGGACGUGAAAUCCCUCAGCUCAACUGAGGAAGUGCAUCCGAAACUGCAAGGCUUGAGUACUGAAGAGGAUCGCGGAAUUCCCGGUGUAGAGGUGAAAUUCGUAGAUAUCGGGAGGAACACCAGUGGCGAAGGCGGCGAUCUGGGCAGAUACUGACGCUGAGGUGCGAAAGCGUGGGGAGCAAACAGG